rnacentral:rRNA from 1 species
GUGCCAGCAGCCGCGGUAAUACCGGCAGCUCAAGUGGUCGUCGCUUUUAUUGGGCGUAAAACGUCCGUAGCCUGUUUGGUAAAUCUGUGGGUAAAUCAACCAGCUUAAUCGGUUGAAUUCUGCAGAGACUGCCAGACUAGGGACCGGGAGAGGUGGGGGGUACUAUAGGGGUAGGGGUAAAAUCCUGUCAUCCUUAGAGGACCACCAGUUGCGAAGGCGCCACACUAGAACGGAUCCGACGGUCAGGGAGGAAGCAUAGGGGCACGAACCGGAUUAGAUACCCGGGUAGUCGUAGGUGUAAAAACUAGAAACUUGGUGUCGGGAGUCCGCAAUGGGCCCCCGGUGCCGGAGUGAAGAUGUUAAGUUCACUGCCUGGGGAGUACGGUCGCAAGGCUGAAACUUAAAGGAAUUGGCGGGGGAGCACUGCAACGGGAGGAGCGUGCGGUUUAAUUGGAUUCAACGCCGGAAAACUCACCAGGGCCGACUGUUAGAUGAAGACCAGCGUAAUGAGCUUGUCGGAUUUUCAGAGAGGUGAUGCAUGGCCGUCGUCAGUUCGUACUGUAAAGCGUUCUGUUAAGUCAGAUAACGAACGAGACCCUCAUCUCUAUUUGCUACCCGUCUCUCCGGAGGCGGCGCACUAUAGAGAGACCGCUGGUGUUAAACCAGAGGAAGGCGAGGGCAACGACAGGUCAGUAUGCCCCGAAUGUCCUGGGCUACACGCGCGCUACAAAGGACGGGACAAUGGGAAGCCAGGCCGAGAGGCCGAGCUAACCCGAAACCCGUUCAUAGUUCGGAUCGAGGGCUGUAACUCGCCCUCGUGAAGCUGGAUUCCGUAGUAAUCGUGUUUCAAUAUAGCACGGUGAAUAUGCCCCUGCUCCUUGCACUCGCCGCCCGUC